GGACAGGAGAGACAGGUGGUGCAUGGUUGUCGUCAGCUCGUGUCGUGAGAUGUUGGGUUAAGUCCCGCAACGAGCGCAACCCCUAUCUUUAGUAGCCAGCAGGCAAGGCUGGGCACUCUAGAGAGACUGCCGGGGAUAACCCGGAGGAAGGUGGGGAUGACGUCAAAUCAUCAUGCCCCUUAUGAUUUGGGCUACACACGUGCUACAAUGGCGUAAACAGAGGGAAGCGAGCCCGCGAGGGGGAGCAAAUCCCAAAAAUAACGUCCCAGUUCGGAUUGUAGUCUGCAACCCGACUACAUGAAGCUGGAAUCGCUAGUAAUCGCGGAUCAGAAUGCCGCGGUGAAUACGUUCCCGGGUCUUGUACACACCGCCCGUCACACCAUGGGAGUCGGAAAUGCCCGAAGUCUGUGACCUAACCGCAAGGGAGGAGCAGCCGAAGGCAGGUCGGAUGACUGGGGUGAAGUCGUAACAAGGUAGCCGU
rnacentral:rRNA from 1 species